ensembl:rRNA 5S_rRNA 5S ribosomal RNA
GUCUACAAUAAAAAACUGCCAUUUAAAAAUACAGUUUCACAAUCCUGUCUGAUCGCGGAAGCUAAGCAGGGUCGAGCCUGGUUAGUACUUGGAUAGGAGACCACCUAGGAAGACCAGGUGCUGUAGGCA